AACGAACGCUGGCGGCAGGCCUAACACAUGCAAGUCGAACGCCGUAGCAAUACGGAGUGGCAGACGGGUGAGUAACGCGUGGGAACAUACCCUUCGGUUCGGAAUAACUCAGGGAAACUUGUGCUAAUACCGGAUACGUCCGAGGUCAAACUUGGAGAAAGAUUUAUCGCCGGAGGAUUGGCCCGCGUCUGAUUAGCUUGUUGGUGAGGUAAUGGCUCACCAAGGCGACGAUCAGUAGCUGGUCUGAGAGGAUGAUCAGCCACAUUGGGACUGAGACACGGCCCAAACUCCUACGGGAGGCAG
rnacentral:rRNA from 1 species